UUUUUUUUUUUGGUCCACACAUCUGGAGGAAGCUCUUGGACAUCAAGAGACUCAGAGAUUUUGAGUACUUUGAAAUAAAUAGGAUGACAUUUCACAAGGGAAAUAGUUCCCACAUGGUACUUCCACUAUGAAAUGGAAAAGUGGUAAAGUCAUCUGAGCAAACUCAGAAAAGCUUGAUUCACCACUGCACCUCCAAACCACCUUUCCACAAGUAUUAGGUGUUCUUCAAAGCUAGGACAUGAAGAGUGCAUACUGUCACUAUUCACAGGCACUCAGAAGCCAGCAUAUUUGGCUCAAUUGAAAAUUAGGAGUUAGAAGACCUGGGUUCCAGUUCUAUUUCUUUUACCAGCUGGCUGUGUAAUCCUGGAUCACUCCCUCCCAAUCUUAUCUUCUACAUCAGUAGAAAGACACAGAGGAUCCUACACUGUUGGUGGAAUGUAAAAUGAUACAACCACUAUGGAGGUACCUCAGAAAACCACAACUACCAUAUGACCCAGCAGUCCCACUCCUGCCAUAUAUCCAGACAAAGCUUUCCUUGAAAAAGACACAUGAACCCGUAUAUUCACUGCAGCACUAUUCAUAAUAGCCAAGACAUGGAAACAACCUCAAUGUCCAUCAACAGAUGAAUGGAUUAAGAAGAUGUGAUAUAUAUUCACACAAUGGAAUGCUACUCAGCCAUAAAAAUGAACAAAAUGCCAUUUGCAGCAACAUGGAUACAACUAGAGACUCUCAUACUAAGUCAGAAAUAAAAAGACAAAUACCAGAUGCUAUCACUUAUAUCUGGAAUCUAAUAUAUGGCACAAAUGAACCUUUCCACAGAAAAGAAACUCAUGGACUUGGAGAAGAGACCUGUGGUUGUCAAGGGGGAGAGAGAAGGGGAGGGAGCAGGAUGGACUGGGAAUUUGGGGUUAAUAGAUGCAAACUAUUGCCCUUGGACUGGAUAAGCAAUGAGAUCCUGCUGUGUAGCACUGGGAACUAUAUCUAGUCACUUGUGAUGGAGCAUGAUGGAGGAUAAUAUGAGAAUAAGAAUGUAUAUAUGGAGGUGGAUCAAGACGGCGGAGGAGCAAGACGUCGCACUCAUCUUCUCCCACAAACACGUCAAAAAAACAUCUACAUGUAAAAUGACUCGCACAGAACAUUUAGUGAAUGCUGGCAGAACAACUUAAACCUCCAAAAAGGACAAGAAAUUCUUAACUGGGUAGAACAAAAGAGAGAAAGAAUCAGGACGGGACCAGCAUUCCUGAGAGAGCACUAUGAAAGAGAAAAGGAAUCCACAUCCUGGGAAGCCAUGUAACUGACGGGGAGAUCAGCCGAGAUGGAGGGACCUCAAAGUCACCAAGAAAAGUGCGGCAGCUGGGAUGAGGAGGGCAAAGCAGAGUGAGAUGCACAGAUCAUCUGAACUACCAGCCUGGAAACCACAGCCUGAGACACUCGGGUGGGGGCUGGACGCUAAGACUUAGGCUCCAGAGGUCAGUCCCGGGGAGAGGACUGGAGUUGGCUAUGUGGGGACAGCCUAAGGGAUUAAGAAGCACUGUGCCAUGGGUCGGGAAGUGGUGUGCUACGAGCUGGGGAGUGGAAUGCCACAGCAGAGGGAACCCAGGAGAAGGUCUGGGCCCGCAGCAGAGGCAAGGCACCAUUGUUGGGGCAGGCCAGAGGAAGAGGGGUGGACCACCAUAGGAAACUCCCUGUACACAUGCAAGCUGGCUCUCAGAGGGCAGGAGGCUUCUGGUGCAGACUAUGGGUGGCGAGAAGCCACUUGCUUGAGCUACAGGAGACUGGCUGCUUCUUGGGCAGGGUAUAGGUAACCAGGCACCUCUUGUGUGGGCUAAGGGCAGCAGGGGGCUAAGCACAACAUGGUACCCGUUGCGUGAUCUAUAGGCGGCAGGGACAGACUGUAGUGUCAUCUCAGAGGCCAGAUGGAGGCAGGCCUGCCACCACUGGGGGCCUGUGAGUGGGUACCACCUGCAGCCUCAGGGGUCAGCAAAAAAGAGGGCACUGCAACCAACCACCACACAUUAUUGCGCACAUCCCCCUGGGAACACACCUGCCCCGUAGCUGCCACUGCCAAACACUCUGGGCAGUGCCCAGACACUUGAUCACUGUCCCUUCCCAGGAACCUGCAACUAGGAGCAGCUUGUGCAGCACUUCCUGUGGGAGCUAAGCAGUAAGAAGUGCUUCUUGAGUUGUCUGCAGGUGGUUGGGCAAACCACUGCAGUUAUCUCUGACUCCAGAGGUGGGCAUGGCCUGCCACCACUAGGGGUCACUGAACAGGCACCACCUGAGGCCCCAAUCACCUCAAGGGCACCACAGAGGAGGGCAUUGUGACCAAACACCACCUGUUGCUCUCACACCGGCCCUGCUGCUGCCACUGCCUAACCCUCCACGCAGUGCCCACACACUUUAUCUCUUGUCACUUCCCAGGAUCCUCCAAAUAGAAGCAGCCUGUGUAGCACCUCCUGUAUAGCCUAAGUGAGACAGGGUACUUCUUACAUGGUCUGCAGGUGGCAGGGGCAAAUCACUGCAAUUAUCACUGAUUCAAGGUGGAUGUGGCCCGCUACCACUAGGGGUCCCUGAACAGGCACCACUUGCAGCUCCAAUCACCUCAGAGAAGGGCACUGCAAUCAAACACUACCUGUUUUUACUCUCAUUCCCCUGUGAACUCACACACCCUGCUGCUGCCACUGCCAAAUGCUCUGGGCACCUUGUAAAUCUGCCCAAGGCUUUUUAUGACUUCCCAGGGCCCUGCAACUAGGAGUAGCCUGUGCCACCUUCCUCCAGGUCCUUGCUGCUAUUAAGAGCCCAGCAACCAGGCACCGACUAUUAGCCCUAUCCAUUGCCUCCUUCUCCCUGGAAACCAACUCAGCACCCUGGGAAUAACAGCUUGCUCACACCAAAGAAAGAGACAACCAAUAGUCAAACUCCCAUGCCAAAAAUAAAUAGUAACCCCCCACAAAAUACAAAGGGGUGCUAUUGCAUAGAAGUAGCCCUCCAAGACUACAGUUUGGAUUCCCUAAACUCAGAAGAAGAAAAACAUAAGAUGAAGAAGCUCAGAAACCAUUCGCAGUUAAAGGAACAGAUUUCACAUGAAGCAGCAAACAAUAAAACAGA
ensembl:lncRNA